rnacentral:lncRNA from 1 species
AUUGCUGGAGCUCCCCUGUGUCCCUGAGGCCUUCUGAAGGAAAUCUUGGGGUCACAUUGGCACUUAUAAGGCUACAAAUCCCCAUUUCAUCUUCUUUCCAUCUGCAGCUCCGUGUCACGGUGUCUGUGAGUUAUUACAGAUGCUAAGCACCGAGUGCUUCCUGACAGCUCAACACUUCAGCCCUCCUGGCCAUCAAAAUCACAACGUUGCUUCUGACUGAGCUUAAUCAUCUCGUAAGAAAUGAUGGAGACAAAGGAGGAAAAGAAAGAACGAAAGAGAAGCAUAAAAACCACUCACGUAGCAGCACACCUCUGCUUCUCCCCUUCUCCUUUCAUCUCUUGGCUGAUCCGUUUUGAUCGCUCUGAGCCUUUGUUGGAGUUUCUCUCAAUCCCAUUCGCUGGGAUUCCAUUGAAAUCAGGGCCCACUCGUGUUGCAGCUGCUGGUGGGGAGGAGGGAUGCUGUGCUCUGCCCCAAGGCAGUGCAAAAUCUGCUCCAUGCAUCAAAUGCAUUCAUUUUUGCCAGAAAAAUCUGCUCCAGGAGGAGGGAUUCAGCAGAUCGAGCAAUUGUUUUUGCCCUUUAUGUGUUGGUCUGGUGUUUCUAAUGCAGAUGCAUCUUUGCUUCCUUUUGGGCUUUUUCCCCCUCCUCCUCCUAAAUAAUAGCAUGGUUGCAUGCAACCAAAUGUAAAGGAAAGCUCAGAUUUACGUACGAGGUCUUCGUCUCAAACAUCUCCUCAACCACUUUCCAACACUGAGUGUGAAAAAGCAAACUACCAAAAGGCACCAUUUUGGACUUGUCCGGACAGACUGACAUCCUUCUGUCCCAAACUUUUGUUGCAGGUGUGUUCUGUUUCUCACCGAUUUAUCCUAAUUGUUAUGAUCAGCCCUUCAGCCAAAAUGAUGCCAAAACCUCAGUUUCCCUGUGGAAAAAUUAACAAACCACCCUCAUGGCUCAUGCAGCUUGUUUAUUUAACUGCAGCAGACGUUGCCUGCAGCUGCUAAACGAGAUGUAAUGAAAGCUUGGGGUCCUCUCCCAGGCACUGGCUUUGCUGUGCCCCGGGUGUAGGGGUGACUGUGGUUGGAUGGAUGGCAGUUGAGUGCAUUGCAU